AAGGAGGGAAGAAGGAAGGAAGGAAAUCAUGCUUGAAAGAAGUUGUGGAACAUGUCAAGUUUUUUUCCGGAUGUGGCGGAGAUUAUGCAGCUACAAUGAAGCCAGAUUAAGAUUUCAGGAAAAUGGACAGAUCUCUACAAUGUUCUCCAAAGAGAUUGUUUUGCUUGCCAAUAAAAAGAGACACCUGGGAGCACCAUACUCUCUCCUGUUCCUCUGGGUAUCAUAUUUCCUUAUGACACCUGAAACUCUGAUGCCUUCUGGGUCCAUGAAAGCAGUGAGAUGAGCACAGGAAACCACGCUGAGGAUGGUUGAGCAAAAAGGUGACAUUGAGCCACUGGAUUAACCUGCCCAGAAACAGGAUAUCUUCAGAUUUCUUGUUAAGUAAGAAAAUGUAAUUUUGUUGAUUCUAAGUUACACUUUCUUUUGUUAGUUCAACAUCUCUGAAAUCAGAACAUAUUUUGCCAUGGUAAUAUCUUACCAUCACUGUAAUAUGUAAUAUCCUUACAUAGGUGUCAUUGCCUAUGCAUGUGUCAACUUGAUUGCUAUUCUCUGUGAUAUGACUGACAACUGCAGCCCUUUGACAGUUCAGUCGACAAACCAUUGAAGAUUAUUAGGGUAAGAAAUACUGCUUUCUGUCUGAAAACUUUCCAAUGACAUCUUCUGAAAAGACAAAGAAAGUAUCAGCAUCAAAAUUUGCGUAAUAGGCCGGGCGCGGUGGCUCACGCCUGUAAUCCCAGCACUUUGGGAGGCCGAGGCGGGCGGAUCACGAGGU
rnacentral:lncRNA from 1 species